CUUUAGGCUUAAACAGCAUGAAGAUCUUGUAUCUUAAAUUCUUAAAUUACAAUAAACUAAUAUUAAGUAAGUAAGUAAGAGUCUCCUGACGGAUGAUCAUGCUCUGCGUAAUGUGUAGAAUGAGUAAACUGCUUUAAUAAUUUACGAAAUACUUAAUAUGACUAUUAAGACUCAAUAUAAUCGGUAUAACAUGAUCAUUAUGUGAUCUUAAUAAAAGGAUGAAUGACAAAACCUUCUCCAGUCGCCUCGUCCCUUUUAAUAUACAGUAAUUAGCCCCGAACUGUCGGGGGUCUGGCAGUAUGUGUAACCCGUUACGUAGUUGGGAGGGACUGAACGGAUCCCACUGAAAAAACUAGUAUAAAUACAGGUGGAGUUGAAGCGCUAGUAUCCACAGUCUAGGACUCUUCAUGGACUUGGAAACGUCUGCAUGAAUCAAGGUAGGCUCUGAAAGAGUGAGGCUUUUUUUAUUUCUCUGUUUUUUCGCGAGAAUGUGUAUUAACAUAUUUCACGUUUCAUUCACGCCAGUUGCAGCAUCUCGCCCCGAACAAGUGGCUGGUUUGUCGAGAGCUUAACGAAUCCGUAAGUAUUGCUUUUUUCUUUUUUAUAUUUAUUAUUCUAUUAUUACUAUUAUUCUAUUAUUAUUAUUCUACUCUCUGAAAUACCGUUAUCAUCACUCGCCAGAGCAAUAUCUGAUUUGACAUCAACAGCAACAGCAGCAAACGCAACGCGGGAACAGCAUCACUCCGAACAGAUUGACUGUUAAAGCCGUUGGUGAGUUUUAAAUAAUAGAGGCUAAUUAACAUUUACGUCUGUGAUGCAAUAAAAAUAAGUAUAAAUAUUUUUUUUCUUCUUUAAAAAAAGAAGCCAAAAUUCAUCCCAAGCCUUUGAUCGGCCAAUUCUUGAACAGUGAGUAUAAUUAAUAUUAAGUAAGAAUAAUUUUCCUAUUUCCCCUAAUAAUAAUCUUGUCCGUCUGCAGUGGCGGAUUCCAAACUCUUGAAGUGCACUGAGGAGCCUGGACCGACUCAGGAAAAAGUUUUUUCAGCCAACGAGAGCCGUGCCGACGCGCAUGCGCAACAGCUCAGCCCGGCUCAUUAACAGCAAGAGGCGCGAGUGAUCCGGGAGUUGGAGCAGAACCCCGAUCAUCAGCGGCGCGCGGGGCGAGCGACACCGGAGAACGGGGGUACGGAGCAGCGAGAGGUGCUGCCGGAUCCAGAGGAGGAGGACUGGGGCUCCGAGGGCCGUCCGGGGGUUCGGGUCGGUGCGGAGCAGCGAGACGUGCUGUCCGAUCCAGAGGAGGAGGACUGGGGCUCCGAGCGCCGCCCGAGGGUUCGGGUCGAGUUAUCCCCUUUCUCUGAUUCCGACCGUCCGAGCCGAAGAAGAAGAAGAAGGGACCGCUCAGAGGAGGCUCGCGACCAAGAAUACGAGGACUUCUUCGGCCCAGAGCAGAUGCGACGUCUCGAGCAAGUAGCCGAACGAGUCGUCACUCGGAUUUUUAUCGACGCAAGGUUUAAUUCGUUGGAGAGUUUCCGACGUACGAUGCGGUCCACUCCUUGGUCUACACUGGUUUCUAAGAUGAAAAGACGUUACUAUGAUUAUUAAAUAGCAGGGUGGCUAAUGACCGCGAGAGUGAGAUAACUUGUUGUGAUGCGCUAUAUAAAUAAAGUUGAAUUCAAUUGAA